rnacentral:rRNA from 1 species
GACAGAGGUGGCAAGCGUUGUUCGGAUUUACUGGGCGUAAAGAGUGCGUAGGUGGUGAGGUAAGACCUGUGGGAAAGACCUGGGCUUAACCCAGGAAGGUCGCAAGUGACUGCCUCGCUUGAGGACGGGAGAGGAGAGCGGAAUUCCCGGUGUAGCGGUGAAAUGCGUAGAGAUGUGGAGGAACACCGAUGGCGAAGGCAGCCCCCUGGGCUAACACUGACGCUCAUGCACGAAAGCGUGGGGAGCAAACAGG